rnacentral:lncRNA from 1 species
UCUCAAUCACAAUUAAAUCAAAGAUAAAGAUUAAAGUGCAAGAAUAACCUCAAUAUCAAUUCAAAUGCUAGAACCAUAUAUUUAUAGAUCAAACGAUUACAUGUUAAACUAUGAUCAAGUACCUCUAAUCCCAACAAAGGAGAUUUAGCUACUCAUUGUCAUGGAAGCCUUGCAAGAAUGAAUUGAAGAAGCAAGAUUCAUUACAACUUGUGAUGUCUCAACAAAGGAUGAAGAAUCCACUCUCUAUCACUCUCACUCUAUAAAGCACAAGCCCUAUCUCUCUCUCUCUAAGAAUAUUACAAGUGAAAACACAGAGAGAAACUAAGUGAAAAACUAUGUAAAAACUAUCUCCCUCUGAAAUGGUUGAGUGGGCUAUUUAUAGAAUUCUGAGUCUGCCUUCACUCGCCUCGCGAGCUGCUUCAUUCGCCAUGGCGAGUUGAAGUUUCUUCCCCAUUGGGUUUGUGCCACGUCAGCAUUUAGAGGCUAAACCGCCCUUACUCGCCUCGCGAGUCCUUCCAUUCGCCAUGGCGAGUAAGCUCGCCUUCUACUCGCCAUUGCGAGUUGGUGGCGUGUGAUCUUUGUUGCAUUCUGGAAUUGCUCGCCUUUGCUGCUUGCCAUGGCGAGUUGGAGGCGAGUGAUCUCCUUUUUCUGCCUUUUUGUACUUUUCUCGAUUUUCUUCUCUUUGCUUGAUGUCUUGAGUUCGAAUCCUGCACAAAUGGGUGAAGUAAGAUAGAUAAAGCGUAAAAGGGCAAUAAUCACUUAUUUCUCGGCUUUUCCCUUAAUAACUUGCAAAACAAGUAACAAAAGUGCCUAAAAUAUAUCACUUAAAUUACAACUUUCUAGCACUUAUCAAACUCUCCCCAACUUAACUCUUUGUUUGUCCUCAAACAAAAUCUUGAAAAUCAAACAAGUUAAUAUGACAAGACACAAGUACAAAAGGUUUGAAAACAUUUUUAGAUGAAUGAUUCAAAGAGAAUGCGCGGGCAAGUCUGAGUUUCCAACUAAUCUGGAAUUCUACCACAAAUAUGAAAUGAGUUCUAUGCACAAAGUUCAUGUCAAAUAGUUCAAGUCAAUAAAACAUUUAUUCACGAACCACACCUAACACACUUCUUUGUAAGUAGAUAUGCAAUUGAAAUCAAAUGAGUGAGGGUUAUGAACACACAUCCGGCAAUCAAGUUAACAUCCAAAUCAAGUUAUAUGUCCAUCCAAUUAUCAUUUCAAAAAGCAUAAAAACAUGGAUCAAAAGGUCUUUUAGGGUUGUAAUUUGGCUUGGCUACAAAAGAAAGGACAUUUGUGGGUCAAUUGAAUUCAAAUGGUCAAGCAUAAGGGAACAUUCCUUCUAUUCACAUUCAAAAGACAAAUUUACUAGAAUUCCCUAACAAACCCUUGGUGUUAAAACAUGAUACUCCUUGAUCUUGACAACUUAUUCUAUUUUUGGAUUUUUCUUUCUUUUUCUUUUUCUUCUUUUCUUGUUUUUAUCAUGUACACAUUUUUCUUUUUCUUUCUUUUUUCAUAUACAAACAAUGUUGUCUUGAUCAAAAUUUCUGAUUACACCAAUUCACUUGACAAAUGAUGAACAUCUACCUUUUCUCCCCAACUUGAAUGAAAACAUACCCUAUUUGAAUGUUCCCUUAAUCUAUGGCAAAAAGGGACAAAUAACAAUGAAGGUUUAGGGUUCAACAAUUAAAACAUAUCAAGGUCCGAUAGUGCAACAAAAAUGAACUGGAUUUUGAAAAAUAUAGGGCGAAUUCAUCAAGCAUUGUGCUUAUGAAUUGACAGUUCAUAAUUGAGGACCUUGCUUCAUUUGGCUCAAGUGGGUUAACAAAUACUCGCUCUUCUCACAAGGUAGGCUAUUUGUGGUCAAGUAUGUUUCUCUCAUUAAACAAAAUAUGCCUUGAUCCUUUCCAUGUCUUUACACAAUUUAAAACAAAUAUUAGAUUUAACAUAAAAUGACCGAGUUAAAACAAUGAAUGCCGGUCUCCUUGCAUAUAGUACAAAUAUUUGAGGUUUCCUCACUUUUUGGCUAGUACUAAGUGGUUCACAAACAAACACAUUAUCGAGGAGAACUAAAUGAAUUGAAAUUUGUGCAAAGUACUCGUUUCCUAUUCAAGUAAAAACCUAGAAAAACUGGAAACUUGUACCUUGGCUUUGCGCUUUAUCACAAACUAUCUAUCAUUAUCAAUCAUCUGAGAAUUUUGCUCAAGUUUUGGCUAUCUUUCAAGCGCUUUGAAAUUUGAAGCUUUGAGCAUUUUUCCUUUCAAUAAGCAAGAGUGAUAAACUAGAGAAACUUCCACAAUUUUCAAAAGAAAGUACUUGAUAUAAACCAAAAGUGCUAAACUAAAACAACACAAUACAACUUGAACAAUGUGAACAUCACAAUACUAAUUAAAGCAAUUGUUUAAACAUAAUAUCCCACAAUAAGUGAACAAAGUAAUAAUUAAACAAAAUUAUGAGUCAUAAGUGCCAAGAUAAAACAACAGAAGCAAAUAUUUGUCAAAAUAGCUGGAAUCGAAAGCAAAUAAAGGAAAUGAAAGAGAAGGAAAGAAUCGACUGAAAGCUUAUAAAAUGUCACUCAAUAAAGGUGAGCUUUCACGUCUCUUCUCUUCCUCCUCAACCCUGCAUGUCAUCAUCAUCUGAACCACCAGUUGCACUUGGGACUCUGUCUGGAUCGUCUCUGUCAGAAUCUCCCAUCAAUAUAUCGUCAGAAAGCGUCCCGAACGAUGAGCCACCCCCUCCGUAAGGAUCUGGCCUGCCCUCAGGCCAAGAAACAUGAGCUUGAAAGGCCUCUGGUGUCAUAAAUUGUGACAUCACCUCCGGAGGGUAUUCUGCCUGCUGCUGCACUAAAUACUGAGACUGCUGAAGAUAAGUAUUAGCACGGUUUGUAGCUUCCAGCAUAUUCCAAGUAUGGGUAUGGCACUGGUAUUGCCAUUGUGUGUAGCUGGCAAAGUCGAAGGCAGUUGUGGUUGGCAUCUGAAAUGGUUCAGACCCUGAUUGUGGAUGAUGUGCCUGAGAAGAUGAGGCUUGUUUUCCUUUUUCCUUCUUUGGGUCACUCAUGAUGUAACGUCUGAUGAAGUCAUCAUCAACGGGGUUCCGGAUUUCCUCAUGCACAGCGGUGGGCAUCUUCAUUCGUGAAUCUUUAAUUAAGCCCAUGAUGAGUCCAGGAAAAGCUAGGCGGGUUUGUGGCUCACUUUUUCCUUGAAGGGUGACCAGCCUUAAUUCCCAUGCUAUUGUGCGGGCUAUGUCAACCUUGAUGCCCUUGAGAAUGUAAUAGAUUAGUGGGCAUACAUCCACGGUGCAAUCGGACAAGUGGCUGUUAGGUCUGACAUUGUGAAGGAUAAAUUUCAGGAUGAAUUUGCAAGUUUUGUUCAUGAGUUUAUAUUGUGCUCUGUGUUGUCUUCCAGCUUUACUCACGUCAUAAGUUUCACCCUCUAGUAAGAUAGCCCUUUUGAUUGUUUCUCUCAUUGGCUCAAUGUUAAAGGUGCCUCGAUUUUGGUUAUCGUGGAAGUCAUCCAUCUUAUCCUCAUCACUUAGUGGGAAAGUGUCACCGAGAUAGGUAUUAAUAGCUUUGCGAUCGAAGCGGAUGGUGCAACCUCUCACAAAGGUUUCAAAGACAAAUGGCUCGGUGAGGUUUGCGGGAAGAGCAUUGGCGUAAAAUUCACGCACGAGCUCAGCAUUGAUUGCGGUGAUAGGUUGGAGCAGUCUUCCCCACCCUUGGUCAGUUAAAAGCUUCAAGAGGUCUUGGUAGGGUCCUUGAGGGUUUAUGUUAAACACUUUCUCGGGCCACAUGCUCUGUUUAAGCAACUCCCUGUAUCUGUCUUGGUGGUAACGAGAUUUAAAUCUCUCAUGAUCAAAUGGUUGGUUUCUAGGUGGGGGUUGAGAUGUGGAUGUUUCACCUUUCUUCCUUUUUCCGGUAUUCACAGGUUUCUUAGGAGCCAUACCUGCAAACACAACCAGGAAAUACCAUACACAACAGAAUAAAUAAUUAAACAUCAGUAUGGAAGCAAUAAAGAGCAAUUGGAGUGUCAGAGGCUUGUUUCACAAAAAUUGUUUCAGGUUCUGAUGCAACUCGCCUCGCGAGCUAUUGUACUCGCCAUGGCGAGUUGAUAUGAAUUUCUGGGUUUCCAGAUGAAAACUCGCUAGGCGAGUGAUGGAGCUCGCCAUGGCGAGUUGCCCAGAAAUUGGCAAAAAUCGAACCUUUUUCAAAAUUUCUUCAGUUUCAUGAUUCCUAACCCUAAAUAUGACCAUUGUGACCCUUAUGAUGACAGUAAGAUGAACUAAAUCAUGCAUUUGAUAAAAAAAAAUCAAAUUUGUUCCACAAAACCCAUUUUAUUUGAACUAUUUACAAAAGGGUUAUCAAAAGAUGUGGAUUUGAAUGAAGGACAUUACGAAUUUAUGCAUGAUUUUGUUUCAUCUCAGUCAUGUGGGUACCAUUUUUACAGAUUUAGAAUCCAUAGCAAAAUCUUCUAACCUAGGGUUUUGAACAUUAUGAAAUUAAAUGGUAACAGAGAAGAGAUGAACAAACCUGAUUUGAAGUAAUGCAAGUGCAGGAAAGAUUAUGCAAUGAACUUGACUUAAAUUGACUUGAUGAAUUGGAAAAGAAAAAAUCUAUAGGGUUUGUUGUUUGUGUUUGGAGAAGAAAUGUUUGAGAGAUUUUGAUGAGAGAGAAAUGAAAACCGAAAAUGAAAAGAAAAUUGUUGGUAAUGGGUAGUUAAGAGAAAUAAAUGAAGGAGUUAGUGGUCUUGGACUCCGUAACUGUCAGAACUGCUACUGCUCGCCUCGCGAGCGGAUUUACUCGCAGUGGCGAGUGAUUUGGUAGUCAACGCAGUCAAUGACCAGUUUACUCGCCAUGGCGAGUUGUUUUACUCGCCUCGCGAGCUGUGACAGUUCACAAAUUGCUUUCUUUUGGCUUCUGAUUUUUGAAUGAUUUUGGUAUGCACAUGACUCCUACACCUAAUAUGCAUUAAAACUGUAAAUAUACUUACAAAAUUGGGGUGCCUCCCAACAAGCGCUUGUUUAUCGUCAUUAGCUCGACGCUUUUCUCAUUAAGUUCACGGAUUGUCAAGUGAAAUUGUCGACGUAAGCCGAUCAAUCUCACCUCCAAAAUAGGGCUUGAGUCUCUGCCCAUUCACAGUCCAGCUAGCUUUGGUAACUGGAUCUUCAAGCUCUACUGCACCAUAUGGUUUUACUUCUUUAACCAUGAAAGGUCCAGACCAUUUAGACUUUAACUUGCCCGGAAAGAGUCGUAAUCUUGAAUUGAACAGCAGCACCAUCUGUCCAGGCAUAAAGUUUCUCUGCAUAAUCCUUUUGUCAUGGUAUUUCUUGAUUUUUUCUUUAUACAAUCUUGAGGAUUCAUAGGCUUGGUUCCUCAUUUCCUCAAGUUGAUGCAUUUGAAUCUUCCGUCUUUCACCGGCUUUCUCUUGAUCGAAGUUCAGAAAUUUGAGUGCCCAAAAAGCUUUGUGUUCGAGCUCUACCGGUAAAUGACAUGCUUUGCCGUAGACCAUUUGAAAUGGUGUGAGACCUAUAGGAGACUUGUAUGCUGUCCUAUAAGCCCACAAGGCUUCAUCAAGCUUCGUCGACCAAUCUUUCCGAGAUGUUGAGACUGUUUUUUCAAGAAUUCUUUUCACUUCUCGGUUUGAAACCUCGGCUUGGCCGUUGGUUUGAGGAUGGUAUGGCGAUGCUACCUUGUGUUUCACACCAUAGUGGUCUAAUGCCUUAGCAAGCGGUGUGUUGCAGAAAUGGGACCCUCCAUCACUUAUUAAAACUCUUGGUGUUCCGAAUCGGGUGAAGAUAUUCUUUUUAAGGAACUUUACCACCGUCUUGCUGUCGGCUUUUGGCGAUGCGACGGCUUCCACCCACUUGGAGACAUAGUCUACGGCUACCAAGAUGUAUUCAUUUGAGUAUGAUGAUGGGAACGGGCCAACAAAAUCAAUACCCCAACAAUCAAAUACCUCCACUUCAAGAAUACUUUGUAAGGGCAUCUCAUUUCGCUUUGAUAUUGAUCCGGUUCUUUGACAUUCAUCGCAAAACUUGCAAUGAGUGUAGGCAUCCUUGAAGAGUGUCGGCCAAUAGAAACCGGAUUGAAGCACUUUUGUGGCGGUCCUUUCCCCAUUGAAGUGUCCUCCAUAAGGAGAAUUGUGGCAUUGCCACAAUAUUUUCUUUGCUUCUUCAUUAUCAACACACCUACGCAAGAGGUUAUCUGCUCCAAUUUUAAACAAGUAUGGUUCGUCCCAUACAUAGUGAUUCGCUUCAUGGAGGAACCUCUUGCGUUGUUGCCAAGUGUAAUCUUCAGGAAUGAAUUCGGUUGCUUUAUAGUUUGCCAUGUCGGCAAACCAUGGUCUUUCUUUAAUAGCUAGCAACUUUUCAUCCGGGAAUUCUUCGAGAACUUCCGGUUCAUUCUUUGUUACCUCUUUGUUCAUGAGCCUUGAAAGAUGAUCAGCUACAAGAUUCUCUGUUCCUUUUUUAUCUUUUAUCUCUAAGUCAAACUCUUGUAGUAGCAACAUCCAUCGGAUGAGCCUUGGUUUUGAGUCGGACUUAGUGAGAAGAUACUUGAUAGCUGCAUGGUCAGUGUACACAACAAUUCUUGAACCUGCGAGGUAUGAACGAAACUUUUCCAAUGCAUAUACUAUUGCGAGUAACUCUUUCUCAGUGGUAGCAUAAUUAAUUUGUGCUUCAUUUAAAACUUUACUCGCAUAAUGUACAGCAUGGAAAACUUUGUUCUUUCGUUGACCUAGUACGGCACCAACAACAUAAUCACUAGCAUCACACAUUAAUUCAAAGAUAAAGAUUAAAGUGCAAGAAUAACAUCAAUAUCAAAUCAAAUGCUAGAACCAUAUAUUUAUAGAUCAAAAGAUUACAUGUUAAGCUAAGAUCAAGUACCUCUAAUCCCAACAAAGGAGAUUUAGCUACUCAUUGUCAUGGAAGCCUUGCAAGAAUGAAUUGAAGGAGAAAGAUUCAUUUACAACUUGUGAUUUCUCAACAAAGAAUGAAGAAUCCACUUUCUAUCACUCUCACUCUAUGAAGAACAAGCCCUAUCUCUCUCUCUAAGAAUAUUACAAGUGAAAAGUAUGAAAAACUCAGAGAAAAACUAAGUAUCUGAAUGAAAUGGUUGAGUGGGCUAUUUAUAGAAUUCUGAUUCUGCAUCUACUCGCCUCGCGAGCUCCUUCAUUCGCCAUGGCGAGUUGAGGUUCCUUCGCCAUUGGGUUUGUGCCACGUCAGCUGUGAGAGGCUAAACCGCCCUAACUCGCCUCGCGAGUAAAAUCAUUCGCCAUGGCGAGUGGGCUCGCCUUCCACUCGCCAUUGCGAGCUGGUGGCGUGUAAUCUCUGUUGGCUACUGGAAUUGCUCGCCUUCUACUGGCCAUGGCGAGUUGGGGGCGAGUAACCUUCAUUUUUCAGCCUUUUUGUACUUUUCUUCAUUUUUGCUCUUUGCUUGAUGUCUUGAGUUCAAAUCCUGCACAAAUGGGCGAAGUAAGAUAAAUAAAGCGUAAAAGGGCAAUAAUCACUUAUCUCUCGGCUUUUCCCUUAAUAACUUGCAUAAUAAGUAACAAAAGUGCCUAAAAUAUAUCACUUAAAAUACAACUUUCUAGCACUUAUCAAUACAUAUAGAUGACAUUCCCAAAACCGCUUUCCGGACACACCAUGGUCACUACGAGUUUAAGGUAAUGCCCUUUGGCCUUUCUAAUGCUCCAUCUACAUUGCAAGACACCAUGAACAAACUCUUAGCACCAUUCCUCCGCAAAAACAUCGUUGUUUUCUUUGAUGACAUACUUGUCUACAACACAACCCUCCAUGAACACAUCAUACACCUUGAUAACGUUCUCUCCACACUAGCCAUAGCCAAAUUCGUCCUAAAACGUUCCAAAUGUUUGUUCGCACAACGCCGCUUAGAGUAUCUACGCCAUAUCAUAUCCCAAUAGGGCAUACAGGUUGACCCAACCAAAAUCCAAGCUAUGAUCGAUUGGCGAAAUUCUUCCUCUACCACAAACCUUCGUGGUUUCCUCGGCCUUACUGGAUUCUACCGAAAAUUUAUCAAAGGAUAUGCCACAAUAGCCACACCCCUCACCUCACUCCUCAAAAAAGACGCUUUCACAUGGAACCCCGAAGCUCAAACCGCAUUUGAUACACUCAAACAAGUUAUGACAACAGCCCCCAUCCUAUCCACUCCCAAUUCUCCAUCCCAUUUGACCUCAAAACAAACGCAUCCGGAAAAGCAAUGGGCGCGCUCCUGAUGCAAAACAACAAACCCAUCGCUUUUUUCAGCAAACAAUUCUGCCCCCGCCUCAUCCGUUCCUCCACCUAUGUAAGAGAAUUACAUGCUAUCACUACGGCUGUUAAAAAAUGGCGACAAUACCUUUUAGGACACCCCUUCAACAUACAUACAGACCACAAAAAGCCUCAAAGAACUUAUCUCACAAGUCUUUCAGACUCCGGAGCAGCAAGUAUAUCUCUCUAAACUCCUUGAUUUUGAUUUUAAAAUUCUGUACAAAACUGGGAAAACAAAUGUUGUUGCUGAUGCUUUGUCACGAAUUGAAAAUGAGAAUCAAUGUCUCACCCUUACAAUGCCCCACUUUGUUUUCCUUGACGACUUACGCACACAACUCAACAACACACCAGAUUUCACAUCCCUCCUAACCCAAAUUCAACAAAAUCCCACCAAUUUUCCUGACCACAAAAUUCACCAGGGUAUAAUAUUUUACAAAAACAAAAUUUGGCUUAACACUUCAAACCCAUACAAAAUCAAACUCCUCAACGAAUUCCACAACUCCCCCAUCAGCGGUCACAUGGGUUUUCAAAAGACAUACAUACGCCUCCGAGACAAUUUCUAUUGGACCGGUAUGUGUGAAGAUUGCAAAAAUUUUGUGUCCCAAUGCCUCCCUUGCCAAACCACCAAAUACGAAACAAAACGCCCCGCUGGCCUCCUACAACCCUUACCUUUACCUACAGCCAUAUGGAAAGAUCUUUCCCUAGACUUCAUCACCGGCCUACCCCCUUCCCAUGGUUUCACUGUCAUUCUUGUAAUUGUGGACAACUUUUCCAAAGGAGCACAUUUCGCAGCUCUUUCUACUCACUUAAUCCUGAUAGAAUAUUAUAUUUAAUAAAAUUAAUAGAAUAGAAUAUUCGGUCAUUAUUGGCUAUUAUUAGUUCCCUGUAAAUAGGCUGUAUCAUAAUUAGUAAGUUGAUCAGACGUUACACAAUAGUUGUAUAUAUUCUAUUCAGAUCAAUGAGAAAGGCAAGCAUUUUGUUAUCUUACAUGGUAUCACUCCUAACCGA